UACGUAGGGUGCGAGCGUUAAUCGGAAUUACUGGGCGUAAAGCGUGCGCAGGCGGUUCGUUGUGUCGGCGGUGAAAGCCCCGGGCUCAACCUGGGAAUGGCCGUUGAAACUGGCGAACUGGAGUGUGGCAGAGGGGGGUGGAAUUCCGCGUGUAGCAGUGAAAUGCGUAGAGAUGCGGAGGAACACCGAUGGCGAAGGCAGCCCCCUGGGCUGACACUGACGCUCAGGCACGAAAGCGUGGGGGAGCAAACAGG
rnacentral:rRNA from 1 species